GCAGUCGAACGCUUCUUUUUCCCCGGAGCUUGCUCCACCGGAAAAAGAAGAGUGGCGAACGGGUGAGUAACACGUGGGUAACCUGCCCAUCAGAAGGGGAUAACACUUGGAAACAGGUGCUAAUACCGUAUAACAAUCAAAACCGCAUGGUUUUGAUUUGAAAGGCGCUUUCGGGUGUCGCUGAUGGAUGGACCCGCGGUGCAUUAGCUAGUUGGUGAGGUAACGGCUCACCAAGGCCACGAUGCAUAGCCGACCUGAGAGGGUGAUCGGCCACAUUGGGACUGAGACACGGCCCAAACUCCUACGGGAGGCAGCAGUAGGGAAUCUUCGGCAAUGGACGAAAGUCUGACCGAGCAACGCCGCGUGAGUGAAGAAGGUUUUCGGAUCGUAAAACUCUGUUGUUAGAGAAGAACAAGGAUGAGAGUAACUGUUCAUCCCUUGACGGUAUCUAACCAGAAAGCCACGGCUAACUACGUGCCAGCAGCCGCGGUAAUACGUAGGUGGCAAGCGUUGUCCGGAUUUAUUGGGCGUAAAGCGAGCGCAGGCGGUUUCUUAAGUCUGAUGUGAAAGCCCCCGGCUCAACCGGGGAGGGUCAUUGGAAACUGGGAGACUUGAGUGCAGAAGAGGAGAGUGGAAUUCCAUGUGUAGCGGUGAAAUGCGUAGAUAUAUGGAGGAACACCAGUGGCGAAGGCGGCUCUCUGGUCUGUAACUGACGCUGAGGCUCGAAAGCGUGGGGAGCAAACAGGAUUAGAUACCCUGGUAGUCCACGCCGUAAACGAUGAGUGCUAAGUGUUGGAGGGUUUCCGCCCUUCAGUGCUGCAGCUAACGCAUUAAGCACUCCGCCUGGGGAGUACGACCGCAAGGUUGAAACUCAAAGGAAUUGACGGGGGCCCGCACAAGCGGUGGAGCAUGUGGUUUAAUUCGAAGCAACGCGAAGAACCUUACCAGGUCUUGACAUCCUUUGACCACUCUAGAGAUAGAGCUUCCCCUUCGGGGGCAAAGUGACAGGUGGUGCAUGGUUGUCGUCAGCUCGUGUCGUGAGAUGUUGGGUUAAGUCCCGCAACGAGCGCAACCCUUAUUGUUAGUUGCCAUCAUUCAGUUGGCCACUCUACCAAGACUGCCGGUGACAAACCGGAGGAAGGUGGGGAUGACGUCAAAUCAUCAUGCCCCUUAU
rnacentral:rRNA from 1 species